AUUCUUCAUUAUUUCAGUAUUUUAUUUUCUCUCUCCUCUCUUUCUCAGUUCCUCUUUAACUCUUUGUCUUGUUUCUUCAGCCUUACUGUUUCAUUCUCUGUCUCUCUUUCCUUUUCUUAUUUUUCUUUCACCAUUUGUUUUGUUUCUUUAACUAUUUCUUCAGUCUCAGCUUUCAGUUAGAUUUUCUCAGUUCAUAAGUUUAUCUUAAUUCUCUGUUCUCGGUAUUCUUUGACUCUUUCUCCCUUAUUUAGUUUAUCUUAAUUCUCUCAGUUUAUCUUAAGUCUCCGUCUUCAGUCUUAUCAUUACUUUAUCUUUGCUCUUUCUUCAGUUUCCAAGGUGUCUUGUUGUUUCUUCUUUUACUAUUUCUUAAGUUUUUUUCUCUUCCGCCAAUCCUUUUCUUCUUCCUUUUUUCAUUACCCAAGCAGUCUCUUUCUUCAUUCAUCUCCGCCCUUAUUAAUUUCCAGUCCUUAUUUUUUUCUGCAGUUUAGUCUUUUUCAUUUUGUCUUGUCUAUGUUAGCAUUUUUCUCGGUUGCUCUGUGUCUCUUAGUCUCUUAGUUUCUCAUUGUAGUGCUGAUGUAUUAUCUGAGUAAGUAUUCGGCUGGUGGCAUACAAGUGAUAUCCUAUUUAGGUGUUUGGCCGAAUAAAUUUGCAUGUAUUUUCCCUGUGUCCGCACAUGUUGGAUGAGGUGUUUGGGCCCGUUUUGAUCAUAGUAUACUGAGGAGGUGGAAGAAGCCAGUGGAUUCGGCGCGGACUUGUAUGGAGGGCAGAACAAGAGACCAUAGAAGGCUGGUCAAGCUGAUGUUCAACUCAAGAGACCAUAGGAUGAACAAGCUGAUGAUUCAACUCAAUUGUCUUCUCUUUCUUUAGUUUUUGUCACUCUUUCUUGUUAUUGGUUUUCAAGUAUAGGUGUUUGUUUCUUGAGCUAAUUCUGUUUUGGUCAUUCCUUUCUUCUUCUUUCUUUAUUACAGGCUUCAAUUCUCUCAUUUCCCCUUUCUCUCAAUACUCUGUCUUCUUCUUUCCUCACUCCUAUUGUUUUUCUAUCACUCUUUUCUUACGCUAUCUAUAUUGUACACAUAUUUUACAUGAACUAUGCAAAUUCAGUAGAAUUUUGUUGCCGCUUCCAAUGGAUUUAGGUUAAACUGAAACUGUCAGGCAACUUACAGUUUAGUGUAGCUUCCAAUGAAUUCAUUUGCUUGUUGCUAGCUUAAUUUACAUGCAUGUCUGAAUGUACUUUUGUCUUACAGCAUAGAGUUUCUGACAUAGGGAAUUGUGGUGUGAGUCUGAACGCAAUUGUUUCUUACUGGUAGGAUGUUUUCUUGCAUCGGACUGCUACUCCUUUAGAAGAUAUUUUCAAGUCCAUUCUCUGGUAUGUAUCUCAUUGUGCGUGUAUGUUUGGUGCAGUCUGGUGUAGUGGAGGUAGACCCUAAUAAACUUGGAAGCUGAUGUAAUCACAGUAUAGGUUCUUAGCACUCGACAUUUACAUGAUUAAUGCCUAGAGAUCACAAGCCGAAAAGUUCAGCUAAAUGAAAUCUUCAGUUCUCAUGUUUUCUAUUUGUUUUCUAAUACUUGACCAUUUUUGCUGCAGUAAAAAUAGGCAUGGACAUACAAAGGGGAGAGGUUACCUAUCUACUUGCUUGAUCAAGACAGAGCUAGAAGAGAGAUAAGAGUGAAAAGUGGGGGACAUUCUAUGCUAUGCUUUACGAGAUCCAAAGGUGUGGUGGCUGCUGUCAUCUUUGCGUGUCCAGGAAGAAGAGAGACGUGUGGCUGUGUGGGGCAGUUGAGGGCCAAGAUAUACAAGGCCCAAUUUUCUAUUUUUUUUGUAAAGCCGAAAAGUACCUAUAUGCAGCCAUCCUGUUUAAGACUGAACUGAUUGGGAGCUGGUUAUUCGCGGUCAAAAAACAAAGCAAAAAAAACCAGACUUAAUGAUAAUGAACGGAUUGAUUU